AUGGCACUGACUAAGUCCGUAUCCCAGGAGAAACAAAUAAUUCUGAUGCCUUUUGGAACUCCCUUGUACGAGUCUUCGCCAGCGUGUUGUGGCACUGUCCUAGGAACAGACCAGGAAGUAAACGGAAAAACUUGCAUACAUGGCAAUAGCAAGAAGGAGGCAUCAAGACUCUCUCAGCAGAGUCCUUUGGAGGAAUGGAGACUUUUCAGUGCUGUUGCUGCAGACUCUUGGGAAAUCUGA
rnacentral:lncRNA from 1 species